rnacentral:rRNA from 1 species
UACAGAGGGGGCAAGCGUUGUUCGGAAUUACUGGGCGUAAAGGGCGCGUAGGCGGCCCGCUAAGUCGAACGUGAAAUCCCCGGGCUCAACCCGGGAACUGCGUCCGAUACUGGCGGGCUUGAAUCCGGGAGAGGGAUGCGGAAUUCCAGGUGUAGCGGUGAAAUGCGUAGAUAUCUGGAGGAACACCGGUGGCGAAGGCGGCAUCCUGGACCGGCAUUAACGCUGAGGCGCGAAAGCCAGGGGAGCAAACGGG